rnacentral:tRNA from 2 species
GGGCCCGUAGCUCAGUCCGGAAGAGCGCCAGGCUUUUAACCUGUAGGUCACGGGUUCAAAUCCCGUCGGGCCCG